GAUGAAGAACGUAGCGAAAUGCGAUAAGUAAUGUGAAUUGCAGAAUUCAGUGAAUCAUCGAAUCUUUGAACGCAUCUUGCGCUCCUUGGUAUUCCGAGGAGCAUGCCUGUUUGAGUGUCGUGAAUACUCUCAACUUCAACCCUUUUUUCGGAAAGGGAGGAAGGUUGGACUUGGGUGUUUGUUGAAGUGCGAGCUUCGACUCAUCCUAAAUGCAUUAGCGAUCUGCCUCGAUCACACACAAUGUGAUAAUUAAAACUAAAGCAUUGUUUAAUGAUCAAGUCGAGACUGCUUCUAACUGUCGCAAGACAAUAACGUGCAUACAUUUGUGCAUGUCAUUUGACCUCAAAUCAGGUAGGACUACCCGCUGAACUUAAGCAUAUCAAUAAGCGGAGGA
rnacentral:misc_RNA from 1 species